rnacentral:rRNA from 1 species
CAAGGGUAGAACAACAGGGAUUGCCCUAGUAACGGCGAGUGAAGCGGCAACAGCUCAAAUUUGAAAUCUGGCUCUCGGGCCCGAGUUGUAAUUUGUAGAGGAUACUUUUGAUGCGGUGCCUUCCGAGUUCCCUGGAACGGGACGCCAUAGAGGGUGAGAGCCCCGUCUGGUUGGAUGCCAAAUCUCUGUAAAGUUCCUUCGACGAGUCGAGUAGUUUGGGAAUGCUGCUCUAAAUGGGAGGUAUAUGUCUUCUAAAGCUAAAUACCGGCCAGAGACCGAUAGCGCACAAGUAGAGUGAUCGAAAGAUGAAAAGCACUUUGAAAAGAGAGUUAAAAAGUACGUGAAAUUGUUGAAAGGGAAGCGUUUAUGACCAGACUUGGGCUUGGUUAAUCAUCUGGGGUUCUCCCCAGUGCACUUUUCCAGUCCAGGCCAGCAUCAGUUUUCCCCGGGGGAUAAAGACUUCGGGAAUGUGGCUCUCUUCGGGGAGUGUUAUAGCCCGUUGUGUAAUACCCUGGGGGGGACUGAGGUUCGCGCAUCUGCAAGGAUGCUGGCGUAAUGGUCAUCAACGACCCGUCUUGAAACACGGACCAAGGAGUCGUCUUCGUAUGCGAGUGUUCGGGUGUCAAACCCCUACGCGUAAUGAAAGUGAACGCAGGUGAGAGCUUCGGCGCAUCAUCGACCGAUCCUGAUGUUCUCGGAUGGAUUUGAGUAAGAGCAUACGGGGCCGGACCCGAAAGAAGGUGAACUAUGCCUGUAUAGGGUGAAGCCAGAGGAAACUCUGGUGGAGGCUCGCAGCGGUUCUGACGUGCAAAUCGAUCGUCAAAUAUGGGCAUGGGGGCGAAAGACUAAUCGAACCUUCUAGUAGCUGGUUUCCGCCGAGUCCCCCCCUCAGAUAAAAGAAG